rnacentral:rRNA from 1 species
AGCGAACGCUGGCGGCAGGCCUAACACAUGCAAGUCGAACGAACCUUUCGGGGUUAGUGGCGGACGGGUGAGUAACACGUGGGAACGUGCCUUUAGGUUCGGAAUAACUCAGGGAAACUUGUGCUAAUACCGAAUGUGCCCUUCGGGGGAAAGAUUAAUCGCCUUUAGAGCGGCCCGCGUCUGAUUAGCUAGUUGGUUGAGGUAAUGGCUCACCAAGGCGACGAUCAGUAGCUGGUCUGAGAGGAUGAUCAGCCACAUUGGGACUGAGACACGGCCCAAACUCCUACGGGAGGCAGCAGUGGGGAAUCUUGCGCAAUGGGCGAAAGCCUGACGCAGCCAUGCCGCGUGAAUGAUGAAGGUCUUAGGAUUGUAAAAUUCUUUCACCGGGGACGAUAAUGACGGUACCCGGAGAAGAAGCCACGGCUAACUUCGUG